GAGUUUGAUCCUGGCUCAGAAUGAACGCUGGCGGCGUGGUUAAGACAUGCAAGUCGAACGGUUUUUUCGGUGUAGCAAUACAUCGGAAAAGCAGUGGCGAACGGGUGCGUAACACGUGAACAAUCUACCUCGAAAUGGGGAAUAGCUCGCCGAAAGGCGAAUUAAUACCGCAUGUGGUCAGGGCUCGCAUGAGUCUUGAACUAAAGUCAGGGACCGCAAGGCCUGACGUUUUGAGAGGAGUUCGCGGCCUAUCAGCUAGUUGGCGAGGUAACGGCUCACCAAGGCUAAGACGGGUAGCUGGUCUGAGAGGAUGAUCAGCCACACUGGAACUGAAACACGGUCCAGACUCCUACGGGAGGCAGCAGUGGGGAAUAUUGGACAAUGGGCGAAAGCCUGAUCCAGCGACGCCGCGUGAGUGAUGAAGGCCUUCGGGUUGUAAGCUCUG
rnacentral:rRNA from 1 species